GUGAAUCAUCGAAUUUUUGAACGCACAUUGCACUCUCUGGUAUUCCGGAGAGUAUGCCUGUUUGAGGGUAAUUAAAAACAAUCUUUAACCAAUUUUUUUUGGUCAAAGGAAAUGAGCUCUCCGUGUUUAUUUCGGUAGCCUGAAAUAUAAAGUCAAGUCUCAUUUUAGUCGAGACGCGUAUUAAUUU
rnacentral:misc_RNA from 1 species